UGUCCUGUCUGCAUCCCUCCACCACUCUUUCUUUCUCUUCCUCCACGCCGACCAGCCCGAGUCUGUUCACAUUCACCUCCACAAGUUGAAAGGAUCUCAACCCACCGCUUUCCCAAACUUCCUCCGGCCAAAGACUUUAUUUUCAUUCUUGACCUUUUUUGGAUCCCUCAACAUUUUACUACCGUAGACGCCGGUUGGUGUGUGUUAGGUCUCCGGUGUUGUGCCCCUGGGGACGUCUCUGUGGGUUUUGACUGGCGAGAAGAGCGGAGAAGAGUUUUUUUUGACACAAUGAAAGUUCAGCUGCUGCUCCUGUCGGCCCUUGUUGGCCUUUUGUGCGCCUUCACAAGUGCAAAUCCAAUUACAGACCCUACAGAACUUCACAAUUCAUCUGUGGUCAUUACAGAAGGAGAAACCACACCUGGUGUUGCUCUAGAGGCUAAUCCUACCACUGUUGUCACCAGUCAUCCUCCAUCUGUACCAACUACGGCCCAUUUCGAAAUUACAACACACGUUUUCAAUGACCAUACGAGUGUGCCUGUGCCUACAACUGAAGCCCUAGUCACUGAAACAGAAGCUCCCAAUACACCUACCCAAUACGCUGAAUAUACGUCUGAGGAGACCACAUCGUCCACUGAGCAAGUACUCAGUGAGUCCCAAACAGACGACCUCACUGAGACAAUGGGCCCUACUGGGACAGUGAUCCCUGCUGACACAGAGGGCACUGCUGAGAGAGUGGGCCCUGUUGGGACAGAAACCACUGACCUGAUCAUUGAGGAGGACACAGAAGAGGCCCUGAGCUCUGGACAGAUUGUGGGCAUUGUAGUCGGCGCCCUGCUGGCAGUGGCCGUCAUCACAGCAGUGGUGAUUGUUGUCUUGAAGAGGAUGGGCGAAUACUCGUCUGCAAGGAACAAAAAGCCUGGCAGAAAGCAGAGUGUUAUGGUCUUUACCUUGAGGAAAAAGCCUACAAAGCAGCGGGACCGUGCGAAGUUCUGGAAAUUCUGAACUACUGAACUGUGACGUCAUUUCUGAUUAUUAAAAACAAGCACGCGAUGCCAGAACUAAGCAAACCUAACCAGCUCUCUGGACUGUGUUAACAAAAGCGAGGG
ensembl:lncRNA